UACUGUCAUGCCUAUUCCCAAAUAUCGUCAACGCGGAUAGUUCGUUAGUCGAAAAUACUGAAUAAUUAAACAAACCAAAUGGCAUCACUGGUGGUUCUUUUUUCCACUCCGCUAAACUGUCAUCUCAAACAAAAACAAAUGGAUCAUACAACUGCUAUGAAUACAUUCGACUCGUUUGCUUCCAUCAAUCGGUAAGUGAGAAAGAUGAUUUCUCCCAUCACCACAGUGCGGAUUUCCACUUCUAUCACAGCAGCCAACAACAUCCGUUUUCCUGCAGCAGUAACCUCCAACCCCUGUUGGCAAUGCCGGGGGACAGCAUCAACAGCAGCAACAGCAGAAUUUGACCAUGGUAUGGUAUCGCGAAGAACUUUCCCCAUUAGAGGUUCCGUGCUUCGCGCACAUUCAAAAAUCCUCUUCAGAUACGAAAACUCAACGACAAGGAGAUAUUUAUCAACUUGCUCAGCUGAAUUACUACCCCGGAGGAACCCGAAUGCACUGAUUCCGUAGUAUAGUAGAAUGAAAAUAGGCGAGGUUAGCGAACGUAAUCGCAUGAUAUUUUAAUGUUCGCAUUUUUAUCCGGAUCAUACAACUGCUAUGAAUACAUCCGACUCAAUCAAUCGGCGAAUGAGAAAGAUGAUUUCCCUCAUCACCACAUUGCUUAUUUCCACUUCUGUCACACCAGCCAACAGCAUCAGCUUUCCCGCAGCAGUAUACUUUAAGUCCAGGGUGCUAUUCCGGGGAACAGCAACAGCAGCAGGACCUGGCCAUCGAUAGUAUUUCGAGCAAUUUUCCCCAUCGGAGAUCUCGUGCUUCACGCACAUUGAAGAAUCCUCCUCAGCCACAUAUCUGUGUCAUCAAGGGCAAGGAGGUAUUCAUCAAUGUACUCAGUCGGAUUUGAAUCGUCAAUCCAGACAACCCGGAUGCACCGAUUCCAUUAUAUACCUUAUUUUUAUUAUACAUGGAUUUUUAUUAUUUUUUUUCAAUAAAAUGAUUAAAAUCGA